rnacentral:rRNA from 1 species
AUUGAACGCUGGCGGCAGGCCUAACACAUGCAAGUCGAGCGGAUGAGGGUAGCUUGCUACCUGAUUCAGCGGCGGACGGGUGAGUAAUGCCUAGGAAUCUGCCCGAUAGUGGGGGACAACGUGUCGAAAGGAACGCUAAUACCGCAUACGUCCUGCGGGAGAAAGUGGGGGAUCUUCGGACCUCACGCUAUCGGAUGAGCCUAGGCCGGAUUAGCUAGUUGGUGAGGUAAUGGCUCACCAAGGCUACGAUCCGUAACUGGUCUGAGAGGAUGAUCAGUGACACUGGAACUGAGACACAGUCCAGACUCCUACGGGAGGCAGCGGUGGGGAAUAUUGGACAAUGGGGGAAAGGCUGAUCCAGCCAUGCCGCGUGUGUGAAGAAGGUCUUCGGAUUGUAAAGCACUUUUAGUUGGGAAGAAGGGCUAUAGGCUAAUAUCCUGCAGUUUUGACGUUACCAACAGAAUAAGCACCGGCUAACUUCGUGCCAGCCGCCGCCGUAAUAC